rnacentral:tRNA from 7 species
GCGCCCGUAGCUCAAUGGAUAGAGUACUGCCCUCCGAAGGCAGGGGUUGUUGGUUCGAUCCCAACCGGGCGCACCA